GACGAACGCUGGCGGCGUGCCUAAUACAUGCAAGUAGAACGCACAGUUUAUACCGUAGCUUGCUACACCAUAGACUGUGAGUUGCGAACGGGUGAGUAACGCGUAGGUAACCUGCCUGGUAGCGGGGGAUAACUAUUGGAAACGAUAGCUAAUACCGCAUAAUAUUGAUUAUUGCAUGAUAAUUGAUUGAAAGAUGCUAUUGCAUCACUACCAGAUGGACCUGCGUUGUAUUAGCUAGUAGGUGAGGUAACGGCUCACCUAGGCGACGAUACAUAGCCGACCUGAGAGGGUGAUCGGCCACACUGGGACUUAGACACGGCCCAGACUCCUACGGGAGGCAGCAGUAGGGAAUCUUCGGCAAUGGACGAAAGUCUGACCGAGCAACGCCGCGUGAGUGAAGAAGGUCUUCGGAUCGUAAAGCUCUGUUGUAAGAGAAGAACGGGUGUGAGAGUGGAAAGUUCACACUGUGACGGUAUCUUACCAGAAAGGGACGGCUAACUACGUG
rnacentral:rRNA from 1 species